rnacentral:lncRNA from 1 species
GUUCUUCCUGGCCGUCAGCACCUGGGAUUUGGCCUGUGCAUUGCUAAGAGCUGGGGCUGGCUCCUAUGGGGAAGUAGUAUUUCAACUUGGAUGCAAAGCAGAAAGGAACUGAACACAAGGAUUCUUAAAUUAGAUUAUGGGCAAUUUAGAUUGUUGCCUGAGUUGAAGUGGCCUUUGGCCAGCCAUGGGGCCCUGAUGCCAUGAGUCACACUUGCCCUGGAGAGGGCCAGGGAACUCCAAGCUGAUGAUGCCCUUGUUGUAGCAAAGCCACAUCAUAACCUAUGCAAUCAAGCUUGAAAACGAAGGAAUUUUAUGUUGUCUUUCUCAUCUGACCUCAAAUCCCAGAGGGGGAUUCCUUUUGCUGAGUUUUUGAUUAAAAUGCUCAUGGGUCCUGUUCCUUUUCCCUUUAGAAGAGAUUAAUUGCUCAUUUUCCUGACUCCAGGUCAAGAGACUGCUCUCCUCCCCAAGCUAGGGGAACCUUCUGGGACUCCAUCAACUGACAAUGAGGGGAUAAUGGUCCCUCACUGCCCCAUCAGGAAAGGCUCAUGGGUGAUUGGGACCUUUGCUUGAAACCCAACUUACUGGCCAGGAACCUCAAGUUCUGGGACCAGGCGCCUUCCUCCCUCCCACUGUGCCAGAGGAGGGGAGACAAAAUCCCUCAAUGGCUGUCUAGCUCCAGGCAGAUCAGCUGCCACGGGGACUGCUGAGCAGGGAGAGGCUGUCGAUGCUGAGGCACGAGAGAAUUUGCUCCUGCUCCUCCAGAGAAAAUGGCUGGGACAGGCUGUUGAGGAAUAAUUCUGCAGGGAAAAGUGGAAGAUGGCUGUGAAAGACUGGGAGGAGGCUGGCUGUGUUUUCAGGGGUUCUUCCUGCACAGUCGGUAGAAGCUGAGCUGCUGGGGAAGGGGCUGGAAGAAAGCCCACACCGCAGGUAUCAGUAGCAAAUUCAAAAACUACAGAAUCAGCUCCAGAGGACUUUGUUAACAAGAAAGAGAAGAUUGAAAACAGCCCUGGGGCUACACCAACUCAAGAGCUCCCAGGCAAAGUGGCAUCCUGGACCCACCAUCUCUCCUACCCCAUCCUCAGUCGGUACUUCCCCAGGCACCGUUUGUUCUGGCAUGGGGCUAGUUCAGCCCUGGGACCACCCUCAUCCUUAUAACUACCAGCUGUCUUUGGUGAGGUGCAAGAUCUCUCUGGUUUUCUUUAUUUCAUUUUCAUUCCUAUAAUCACAGCCUUUUUUGUGCCCAUCCCUCAGGUGACAUUCUAUUAUGUUUGAUGUGUCAUUUUUGAUUUGGUUGUGUCCUUGCAAAAUGUGCGUUGUUUUAUUUAUCAAUUUAUUUUUAUUUUUAUUUUUUUAAAGAGAUGAGGUCUCAUCAUGUUGCCCAGGCUGGACUCCAACUCCUGGGCUCAAGCGAUCCUUCCACCUCAAUCUUCUGAGUGGCUGGGACUACAGAUGUGCGCCACCAUACCUGGCUAUUGAUCAAUUUUUAGUUUACCAAACAGGCAUUAUGUUCUGGGUCCCAUUCUGUGUCGGGUUCUCUUUUCACUCGGCACCAUGGCUUUAGGAUCCAUCCAUGCUGCUCUGUGAACGCCGAGUUGCUUUAACUGCUUGGUGCUCCAUGAGGCAUCCCCUUUUGUGUCUCUGUCCUCCCAGUGAGGGACCCCAUCGUACCCUACUCCCCUCCCACAAAGGAAGCUGUAGUGCGCGUCCUCAGGCGUGUCCCCAUAUGGAUCUGCUGGCAUUCGUUUGUCAGUGCACCCAGGGGUAGAAGUCCUUGGUCUCAGUCUGCAGACGUCUGCCUGAGUGCAGCCAGGUGCCCCCCCAGAGUGGGUAGCCUUGUCCACAUGCCCAUCAGCAGCACCUGAGGGGUCCCAACAGCCCUACAUCCCACCAACUUUCUGCUUUUUUCCAGUCAAAUGGCUCUUGAGUGUUACCUGGCUUUAUUUAUUUAUUUAUUUUUUGAGUCGGGUCUCUGUUGCGCAGGCUGGAGUGCAGUGGUGCAAUCAUGGCUCACUGCAGCCUCGACCUUCCAGGCUCAAACAAUCCUCUCACCUCCUGAGUAGCUAGGACUACACGCAUGUGCCACCAUGCCUGGCUAAUUUUUAAAUUUUUUUGCAGAGAAAGGGUCUUGCUAUGUUGCCCAGGCUGAUCUUGAACUCCUGGCCUCAAGCGAUCCUCCUGCCCCAGCCUCCCAAAGUGCUGGGAUUACAGGUGUGAGCCACUGCUCCCGGCCUGUCUUUAUUUUGUAUUCUUGGAUUCCUAGUGAGUUUGAGCCCCCUCUAUACAUCAUAACCCUUAUGAUACUAGUAAACAUAUAUUUUAUCUUUAACCCCAUUUCUGGCACAGAACUCCUAAAAGCCUUACUCUCCAAAAUGAUCUCUUUCUGUGUACUAAUGGAUUGACUGAAGGCUGGCAGCCCCUAGGUAGCUUCAAGAUGGGGGCUGGUCAUCAGAGAGACAUAGGCAGGAUUAGAGGGUUGGGACUUUCAUCCCACCAUCCCACGUACUGGGAGGGAAGGGGGCUAAAGGUUAAGCGGUUCGCCAAUGGCCAGUGAUUUAUUCAAUCAUGCCUACGUAAUGAAGCCUACACAAAAACCCAAGAAGACCGGGUUCAGAGAACUUCUGGUAGCUGGGCACAUGGAGGUUCCUGGAGGGUGCCAAGCCCUGGAAGCUCUGUGCUCCCUCCCACAUGCCUUGCCCUAUGCAUCUCUUCAUUUGUAUCCUUUGUAAUAUCCUUUCUAAUAAACUGGUAAAUGUAAGGAAGUGUUUCUCUGAGUUCUGUGAGCCACUCCAGCAAAUUAAUCAAUCCCAAGGAGGGGGUCAUGGGGUCCCUGACUUAUAGCCAGUUGGUCAGAAGCACAGGUAAACACGUGGGCCUGAGACUGGCAUGGCUAGGGGGUGCAGUCUUGGGGAUCGAGCCCUCCUGCUGUGGGAUCUGAUGCUACCUCCAGGUAGAUAGUGUUGGAACAGAACUGAAUUAGAGGACACCAAGCUAGUGUCUGCUGCAGAACUGAUUGCUGGCUUGGUGGGGUGGAAAUCCCCACACAUGUGGUCACAGGAGUCUUCUGGGUUGAUUGUAGUUGAGUGGGAGAAUGGAAAAAGCACUUCGAGUUUGCGUGUGAGUUUUCUCUUUCCCAUCUCCUGAGCGCUGCCUCUGGGUCCAGGCGUGGCACUGUCGCAAUCUCCCAACAACCCUGAGGCUGCUGCACCCCCAUAAUCCAGAGGGGGAAACUAAGGCUCUGAGGGGUGCCUUGCUCUGGACCUGCGCCCACCUGCCUCCUCUGUCCACCUCUGUCUUCUGCCCCCCGGGUCAGCCAGCGUGGGGCUCUUCCUACCUUGCUGUAGUG